ACAAAAUAACAAAUAGAUAAGUAAAGUACUUUGUACUUCUAGAAAGCUCAAUUUAACUUAUUUUCAAAUCAAAUACUUCAUAUUCUCCGUAUGAAACAAGCAAGCUGUCAAUCUAACGUUUCAUUAUAAUACUUAUGCUUUAAGCUUGUUUGUUGAUGAAAAAUUCAAUAUCAUAUUUCUUUUUUUCUUGAAAUUUAGGCAACAUUGAUGUUUUAAGAAUUGUGGAUUGUCUAAAGCUAUCUGAAAGAAUUUGAUUUAUAUUUGUGUAUUAGACUCAGCUGAUUAAGCAAUCUUCUUCGUGAAAGAAUCUUCUGUGUUGACUUUUCAAAUUAGAGGAUUAAUACUGAACACCUCCAAACUUUAAAAAGCUAUUGCCAGCGAAAUUGAAGUUUUUAACUCCAACAGAAAAACUUAUCGAGAUAUAUUUAGAUUUGGCUAACAUAAAGUGCAUGGACAUCUCAAGAGGCUGCAGCUGCUGGUGCACAAGCAGAUGCUGAAGUAGAGGCAGCUAUAACUGAGCCUUUGGAGGUUGCUGAAGCUGCUCAAGCCUUUUCAGUAGCUGCCAAGAAGACACCACAUGGGAGAAGUGCCCCAAGGAUGACUAUCAGAUACUAAGAAUAUUAUUGAAGAUGAAAGAGCUUAAUCACUCUCUCAUCAUAUGAAAAUGUUUCAUCAAAGGAGGUAAAAGUUGAAAAGGAAAGAUAAGCAAGUCAUUCAAGUCAACAAGAGGUCAAAUGUGAAAGAAAAGAGUCAUCUACUUUGCAUCUGCUUAAGCAGAUCAAGAUCAAUGUGACAUUUUUGUAAUAUUUGUUAAAUGUAGAAUUGGGACUUAAAUAGGGGUUUUAGCUCAUUUUUAUCCAUCUAUUUCUCCCAUUAUCUAUCUUUCAUUCUGGAAAUAAUAUUGUACUACUAUUGAGUAUAGAAUACAUUAGAGUAAUUCCUAAGUGAAGGAUUAACAAUUUCAAUUGAAGAUUUAUUGAAAUUUAAAGUUUGAAUUUGUAUUC